rnacentral:siRNA from 1 species
AAUAGACUGUGAAUUAUUGCGC